CUCACUGAUCAAUGAAUGUAAA
rnacentral:miRNA from 8 species